rnacentral:rRNA from 1 species
UACGUAGGGGGCAAACGUUGCUCGGAAUCACUGGGCAUAAAGCGCACGUAGGCGGUUCGGCAAGUCCGAUGUGAAAUCCCCCGGCUUAACCGGGGAACUGCACCGGAUACUGCCAGACUAGAGGGCUGUAGGGGAGACUGGAACUCCUGGUGUAGCGGUGAAAUGCGUAGAUAUCAGGAGGAACGCCGGUGGCGAAAGCGAGUCUCUGGGCAGCUACUGACGCUGAGGUGCGAAAGCUAGGGGAUCAAACGGG